rnacentral:rRNA from 1 species
CCUACGGGUGUCAGCAGUGGGGAAUAUUGGACAAUGGGGGGAACCCUGAUCCAGCGACGCCGCGUGAGUGAAGAAGUAUUUCGGUAUGUAAAGCUCUAUCAGCAGGGAAGUAAGAAAUGACUGUACCUGACCAAGAAGUCCCGACUAACUACGUGCCAGCAGCCGCGGUAAUACGUAGGGGGCAAGCGUUAUCCGGAUUUACUGGGUGUAAAGGGAGCGUAGACGGCGAUGCAAGUCUGAAGUGAAAGGCCGGGGCCCAACCCCGGGACUGCUUGGGAAACUGUAUGGCUGGAGUGCAGGAGAGGUAAGUGGAAUUCCUAGUGUAGCGGUGAAAUGCGUAGAUAUUAGGAGGAACACCAGUGGCGAAGGCGGCUUACUGGACUGUAACUGACGUUGAGGCUCGAAAGCGUGGGGAGCAAACAGGAUUAGAUACCCGAGUAGUC